rnacentral:tRNA from 1 species
GCCCUCUUAGUACAAUGGAUAGUACAUGAGUCUUCUAAACUUAGAAUGAUAGUUCGAUUCUAUCAGGGGGUA